CACGUAGGGCGCAAGCGUUGUCCGGAAUUAUUGGGCGUAAAGAGCUCGUAGGCGGUCUGUUGCGUCUGCUGUGAAAACCCAGGGCUCAACCCUGGGCUUGCAGUGGAUACGGGCAGACUAGAGGUAGGUAGGGGAGAAUGGAAUUCCCGGUGUAGCGGUGAAAUGCGCAGAUAUCGGGAGGAACACCGGUGGCGAAGGCGGUUCUCUGGGCCUUACCUGACGCUGAGGAGCGAAAGCGUGGGGAGCGAACAGG
rnacentral:rRNA from 1 species